UACGAAGGGGGCUAGCGUUGCUCGGAAUCACUGGGCGUAAAGGGUGCGUAGGCGGGUCUUUAAGUCAGAGGUGAAAUCCUGGAGCUCAACUCCAGAACUGCCUUUGAUACUGAGGAUCUUGAGUACGGGAGAGGUGAGUGGAACUGCGAGUGUAGAGGUGAAAUUCGUAGAUAUUCGCAAGAACACCGGUGGCGAAGGCGGCUCACUGGCCCGUUACUGACGCUGAGGCACGAAAGCGUGGGGAGCAAACAGGG
rnacentral:rRNA from 1 species